rnacentral:rRNA from 1 species
UACGUAGGUGGCAAGCGUUGUUCGGAAUUACUGGGCGUAAAGGGCGCGUAGGCGGCCUGUUAAGUCGAACGUGAAAUCCCCGGGCUCAACCCGGGAACUGCGUCCGAUACUGGCAGGCUUGAAUCCGGGAGAGGGAUGCGGAAUUCCAGGUGUAGCGGUGAAAUGCGUAGAUAUCUGGAGGAACACCGGUGGCGAAGGCGGCAUCCUGGACCGGCAUUGACGCUGAGGCGCGAAAGCCAGGGGAGCAAACGGG